rnacentral:rRNA from 1 species
GACGAACGCUGGCGGCGUGCUUAACACAUGCAAGUCGAACGGAAAGGCCCUGCUUUUGUGGGGUGCUCGAGUGGCGAACGGGUGAGUAACACGUGAGUAACCUGCACUUGACUUUGGGAUAACUUCAGGAAACUGGGGCUAAUACCGGAUAGGAGCUCCUGCUGCAUGGUGGGGGUUGGAAAGUUUCGGCGGUUGGGGAUGGACUCGCGGCUUAUCAGCUUGUUGGUGGGGUAGUGGCUUACCAAGGCUUUGACGGGUAGCCGGCCUGAGAGGGUGACCGGCCACAUUGGGACUGGGAUACGGCCCAGACUCCUACGGGAGGCAGCAGUGGAGAAUAGUGCACAAUGGGCGGAAGCCUGAUGCAGCAACGCCGCGUGCGGGAUGACGGCCUUCGGGUUGUAUACCGCUUUCGCCUGUGACGAAGCGUGAGUGACGGUAAUGGGUAAAGAAGCACCGGCUAACUACGUG